rnacentral:rRNA from 1 species
UUAAUUGAAGAGUUUGAUCAUGGCUCAGAUUGAACGCUGGCGGCAGGCCUAACACAUGCAAGUCGAGCGGCAGCACAGAGGAACUUGUUCCUUGGGUGGCGAGCGGCGGACGGGUGAGUAAUGCCUGGGAAAUUGCCCGGUAGAGGGGGAUAACCAUUGGAAACGAUGGCUAAUACCGCAUAACCUCGCAAGAGCAAAGCAGGGGACCUUCGGGCCUUGCGCUACCGGAUAUGCCCAGGUGG